GACAGAGGCCACGAACGUUGUUCGGAAUUACUGGGCAUAAAGCGCACGUAGGCGGCUAGGUCCGUCCGGUGUGAAAGCCCCAAGCUUAACUUGGGAACUGCACUUGAUACUGGUAGGCUAGAGAUCGGAAGAGGUGAGUGGAAUUCCUAGUGUAGAGGUGAAAUUCGUAGAUAUUAGGAAGAACACCAGUGGCGAAGGCGGCUCACUGGUCCGAUACUGACGCUAAGGCGCGAAAGCGU
rnacentral:rRNA from 1 species